UUUGAUGAUGGAACAUAUCUUAGCAGCUGCCAGGGCCUGAAAACGUAUUUAAUUCUUAGUAAACUCACUUCACUUACUGAAAAGUCAUGACUGAAUAUAUCUUGAAGAUGUUUAUCUUCGUGAUGAAAGCCAUAAUAACUCGUUGCGCAUAGUGGCUGCAAGAGUUGUAUAUUCCCAGGGAGUUGAGAUUGAUAACACGAUGUGCCGUUGAGAUUGACAUCCAAUGAUCGAGGGAAAAAAUACCAGCGCCGUGAGCAAGCAUUAGUUGCCUGGAUAAUAUAAAUAUCGUAUAAUAUAAUAAUAUAUUAGUCAUCACUUUUAAGUAGCAAGAUGCAACAUUUUAAAUUGGAUGUGAAAUUUGCAAAUACAAUAUGCACAGUUUCUAAAUAAAACAAAAAACAACAGAUGACC